rnacentral:sRNA from 1 species
AUCUGCGUAUCAUCUCGGUGUCCCGCUUUUCCCCCAGUUCCCCAAGAGCGUCCUUCCUUUCCCUAGUCACAGGAUCGCAGUUUUGGUCUGAUAGCGCAUCCCCCUACCCCAGUGUUGCAUCCCCACUUCCCUCUUUCCAUCGAACGUGGUGGCCUUUCCUGGGGAUACCUUGGGUAUCCUCCCCUGGGAGAGCAAGCACAAGACACCAGGGAGCCAGACCCCUGCCGCUCCCCUGCCACAGGAUAUGUAUAGGAGCCUCAGCUGGUUUGAGCAGCUGGAUGUGCUUCUCAACGCUACUAAUGGAAAUGUGGUCCGGAUUAAGCAGUGGCUGUAUCCUCUUGGGGUCUCCACCGCAGAAUAGCACUGCUGUCACUCCUACAGUGCUG